UCGACACAAGUCUACAGGGUUGCCAAUCGUGUGCAAGAUCCGAUACCAGCUUUGCAUUACCGCUUCUGGACUCAUGUCCGCAGGGACCAGGUUCGCGUCUUCUUCGCCUGCAAAUUAUGAACAUGGUCUUAAGACCUUAGGAAUGGAAUUUCCGAAAAUUGCUGUUUAGUGAAGUUAUAACUUAGUAAGAUAACGAGUAAAAUAUUUCCUGAAAUUUACUCUUAAAAAUUAAGGUAACUUUAUUGAAAAAAAAAUUGUACCCGUGGUUAGUAUCUAUGUUAUCAACCAGACACUCGUGGUGAACGGUCGGUUCGUUCUUUGUUAUCUAUUUCUUGUAGGACUUUUAAGAAGGCAUCGAAAAAAUGACCACUGCCCGUGCACAAUCUGUGGCGUGUAGCCAUCACAGCACACAAGAUAUUUGACAGAUGCCUGAAUCUCGCUUACGACAUUUUGAAUAUGAGCUUGCAUAUAUACAAGUUCCUAACAUCAACAUUAUCAUUCCGAACCAUAUCACCCACUCGGUGGAAGAUAUUCCCUUUGUCGUAAAACCACCAAACUGGUGACACCAACUUGACGUGAAAACUCCAAACAAUCGUCUUCGUUCCUUUUCUUUUGUUUCUUUUCCAAUCACACCUGUCAAGUCUCUGUUUUAGUGUAUGUCUAUGUUGUAGGUCGCGGGUCCUGUCAGAGAGGUUGCACGCCACGACCCGUGGUCCUACUGGUGGUAGGACCACUUGUGAGUCCGCGCGGAUAGAUACCACCGCCCUGCCUAUUUCUUUUUUUAUUUUUUUUAUUGCCUUUGUAGGCAGACGGGCAUACGGCCCACCUGAUGGUGAGUGAUUAACGUCGCCCAUGGACUUCAGCAAUGCCAGGGCCAGAGCCAAGCCGCUGCCUACCGCAAAGCAGUAGUGCGUUUCGGUUUGAAGGGUGGGGUAGCCGCUUUAGAACUUGUAUCUCAAGGUGGGUGGCGCAUCUAUGUUUUAGAUGUUUAUGGGCUCCAGUAACCACUUAACACCAGGGCUGUGAGAUCGUCCACCCAUCUAAGCUAUAAAAAAAAUGCUUAAUAUUAUUAUUUAUAGAUAUGUACUUACUGAUGGGCACGGCUGGGAAGUGUGGACCAUACAGAUUGUUCAGUAGUCUCGCGGUGAGGCACAGCGAGGCGCGCGUCCAAUGCUUGGUGAGCAGGUCGCGGUGCCGCCAACGCAGGCACUGCUCGCGCAAUGUACGCCACAGCGCGGGGCCCGGGAAACUUCGGUGACACGCCACCAACCAAACCUGGCAAUGUGAUCUAGUAGUUAGCGAUUGACAAGGCAUACCAUAUACGAAAAAUAAAUAAUUUAAAACAAAUAAAAUAUAUCGCUACAUUAAAAAGUCAAUAUCAUGAAGUUAUUAGCCGAGGUCGGAGUAGGUAGGUUGAUUUAAGGUCGUUGACGUCAACGAGACAGGCAGUGCCUAGUGUAGAGAGUUUUUAACAAACUGUUAUGUGUAUGUGUAAACGUAGAGGAUAAUAUGGAUAUGCCUCCAAAAUACCGGAACUUCAUAUUUAUUGUGUUAGCACGAACCUGUGUUUAAGGUGAAAAACAUAUUAAUAAUAUCAAUCUACGCUGAUAUUUACCUGAAAUGAAACAUGUAACAUGUUUGGCGCAUGUUCUUCAUCGUAUAUGAGAGAAAAUAAGAUCAGAAUAUAACGUACUUCCCGCACAUUACAAUGUACCUACUCCGACCACUAGUUAUUAGAUUUAAACUGGAUCUCGCUGAUAUUUUGAAUUGCUUGUACUCAAAACCAAUAUACCUUGUAUUGUACUCAAUAUUAUCCUGGGCUUGAUUAUCACCACUACAAUUUUAAAGAAGACCUUUCUGAAAUAGUUUCUUAUUCAAAAAUUUAUGAACUAACUUCAAAUAGAACGGAGAGCACGCGGUCGCAGAGCUGAAAGAUCGCUGCGGCGUGGAACGGGGGCGGUGGAGGCACCGGCGGCGCCAGUAGGGCUGCAGCGGCGGCCAGCAGCAGCAACAGCAACGCCUUCCACUCCGCGCCGCCCAGCGCGCCCCCGUCCGCCAGAGCACGCGCCAGUCGGAGCACGCGGUGGCACAGAACUGCUUGUUUGCUGAUCAAGUCGCCACCUUGAAUUUAAAUUUACUGCUAGUAUUGAGCCCUCGUGGGUACUGGUGGUAGGACCUCUUGUGAGUCCGCACGAGUAGGUACCACCACCCUGCCUAUUUCUGCCGUGAAGCAGUCAUGCGUUUCGGUUUGAAGGGUGGGGCAGCCGUUGUAACUAUACCGAGACCUUAGAACUCACAUUUCAAGGUAGGUGGCGGCAUUUCCGUUGUGGAUGUCUAUGGACUCCGGUAACCACUUAACACCAGCUGGGCUGUGAGCUCGUCCACCCAUCUAAGCAAUAAAAAAAAGGGUACCAUAACUCUGUCUUGACAUAUAUAUUGCUCAAUUUUUAUAUAUGGCAACUGUUAGUGUGCGUGUGCGAGCGAACUAUUGUAACGUUUAGGUGCACUUCAGGCGUUGCAAACCAAGGACGACGAUUUGAUAUUUAUCUUGAUAUAGGAUGUCUUGAACCCAGGAAACGAUUUACACGUAUUAUUAUUUUUCUACGGUACAAUAUCAUACAGUGCUAGUUCUGACACUCAAUAAUCUCAAACUAAGUAAUAAGCAAGCAAAUAACAAUGUAUUUUAGUAGCGAUUUAGCUAUUUCUGAUAUGACCAUAUCGUUGUCUUGUCUUGUCUUGUCUUGUAUUACAUAUAUACCUAUACAAUUGUUUAACUAUCGCUAUUGACUAAUUCGGCGAUCGCUAUGAACUUACCCAAUUCCCAUUGAUAAAUGAAAGCGAGAGCUUGAAAAUUCACAAAACAAAAAAAACAACUUGUUAUAAUCAUACUUUAUAAAAUGACAAUAUAAUGUUGAUGUUUUUCUUCACAUACUUGUCAAUUUCAAGACUUAUGAACUCUGAAGUUAGGAACAAGCAGAAAAAUCACUUUUUUUAUUUUUUGCAUAAAUGGGUGAACGAGUUCAUAGCCCGCCUGGUUUUAAGCGGUUACCAGGGCCUAUAAGCAUCACAAUGUGAAUGCCACCAUUUACCUUGAGACAUAAACGCUUCAACAGUAGAAAGGCAAAACUGCUUUGCGGCAGAAAUAGGCUGAUAAUAAAUAGUGCCUACCUACUCCUCCGCACUUAGAAUAAGCCCUACCACUGGUAAUUAUGCAAAUUGCAAUAUUUGCAAUUUUGAUAUUUACUUCUUAACUCUGUUAUGCCAGUUCAGUGAUAGUUCUAUUCUGAGAAAACCAACCAGUGAUUUGUGUACACAUAUCAAUACUAAAAAGGAAGAUAGCUUGGUAAACUUACUUUCGUCUGGUCUUGGAACAAACAAGUUUUGUAGGUGGCGCAGUAUCUUCCUUGCGUAUCUGUGUGGCUCGGCGACUACGGGUGGAGGAAGAGCUGGGGGGGUGGGUUGCGCGGCGGGAGUGGGAGCCAGUAGUGGGGUCAACCAAGCACACGCGACACGCACGCAAUCCCGUACAGCACUGUGCUCGCUCAGUGGCAGUGACAAACCAUAUCUGAUCACUUCUAGAACCCACUCCACCUUUAAAGAUGUUGAUUUCAAUUUUUAUUUUAUGUUUCAGAUUUGUUUCUUACGUAAAUUUAUACACAUAACAUAUGUUUAAAAAAUCUGCUCAAAAAUAAACGUUACGCUUUUAUUACAUAGCUAUUUUUCCUAUUAGGUACUAAAGAGUGAAUAACAAUAUGUAUACUAUUUAAAAAAAAAAAAACUUUUUUUCAUA